rnacentral:rRNA from 1 species
GGUUAAGCGACUAAGCGUACACGGUGGAUGCCCUGGCAGUCAGAGGCGAUGAAGGACGUGCUAAUCUGCGAUAAGCGUCGGUGAGGUGAUAUGAACCGUUAUAACCGGCGAUUUCCGAAUGGGGAAACCCAGUGUGUUUCGACACACUAUCAUUAACUGAAUCCAUAGGUUAAUG